rnacentral:rRNA from 1 species
GAUGAACGCUAGCGACAGGCUUAACACAUGCAAGUCGAGGGGCAGCGGAGGCGAGUGCUUGCACUUGCCAGACGGCGACCGGCGCACGGGUGAGUAACACGUAUGCGACCUGCCCGUAGCAGGGGGAUAAGCGGAAGAAAUUCCGUCUAAUACCGCGUAAUAUCUUUCGGGGGCAUCCCUGAGGGAUUAAAGGAAGCGAUUCCGGCUACGGAUGGGCAUGCGGCGCAUUAGCUAGUCGGCGGGGUAACGGCCCACCGAGGCGACGAUGCGUAGGGGUUCUGAGAGGAAGGUCCCCCACACUGGUACUGAGACACGGACCAGACUCCUACGGGAGGCAGCAGUGAGGAAUAUUGGUCAAUGGGCGAGAGCCUGAACCAGCCAAGUCGCGUGAGGGAAGACGGUCCUAUGGAUUGUAAACCUCUUUUGUCGGGGAGCAAAAAGGCCUCGUGAGGCCACAAGUGAGAGUACCCGAAGAAAAAGCAUCGGCUAACUCCGUGCCAGCAGCCGCGGUAAUACGGAGGAUGCGAGCGUUAUCCGGAUUUAUUGGGUUUAAAGGGUGCGUAGGCGGACUGGAAAGUCAGCGGUAAAAUCGAGAGGCUCAACCUCUUUCCGCCGUUGAAACUGUCGGUCUUGAGUGGGCGAGAAGUAUGCGGAAUGCGUGGUGUAGCGGUGAAAUGCAUAGAUAUCACGCAGAACUCCGAUUGCGAAGGCAGCAUACCGGCGCCCGACUGACGCUGAGGCACGAAAGCGUGGGUAUCGAACAGGAUUAGAUACCCUGGUAGUCCACGCAGUAAACGAUGAAUACUAAUUGUCCGGUCAGAAUGAUGACUGGGUGAUACAGCGAAAGCGUUAAGUAUUCCACCUGGGGAGUACGCCGGCAACGGUGAAACUCAAAGGAAUUGACGGGGGCCCGCACAAGCGGAGGAACAUGUGGUUUAAUUCGAUGAUACGCGAGGAACCUUACCCGGGCUCAAACGUAGAAUGACAGACGGUGAAAGCCGUUCUCCCUUCGGGGCAGUCUACGAGGUGCUGCAUGGUUGUCGUCAGCUCGUGCCGUGAGGUGUCGGCUUAAGUGCCAUAACGAGCGCAACCCCCAUCUACAGUUGCUAACAGGUAAAGCUGAGGACUCUGUGGAGACUGCCGGCGCAAGCUGUGAGGAAGGCGGGGAUGACGUCAAAUCAGCACGGCCCUUACGUCCGGGGCGACACACGUGUUACAAUGGCAGGUACAGCGGGAAGCCAUAUGGCGACAUAGAGCGGAACCCGAAAACCUGUCUCAGUUCGGAUUGGAGUCUGCAACUCGACUCCAUGAAGCUGGAUUCGCUAGUAAUCGCGCAUCAGCCACGGCGCGGUGAAUACGUUCCCGGGCCUUGUACACACCGCCCGUCAAGCCAUGGAAGCCGGGGGUACCUGAAGUGCGUGACCGCAAGGAGCGUCCUAGGGUAAAACCGGUGACUGGGGCUAAGUCGUAACAAGGUAGCCGUACCGGAAGGUGCGGCUGGAACACCUCCUUUCUGGAGCAACGACGCCCCUUCAGGGUAGCGCGGUCAAAACGACCGGUCCGCGCCCCACGACAUGAUUGUCACAUUUAUGGCCAAGACAGAAGCAACAGACUUACUACCCGAGUCAUUAUUUUAAACCCAGUCUCUUAGCUCAGUUGGUUAGAGCGCUACACUGAUAAUGUAGAGGUCGGCAGUUCAACUCUGCCAGGGACUACUCGAAAAAGAGCACAUUGACAUGUUGGAAGCGAUAUUGAAGAAAUUCGAUAUCACGUAUCACGAGCAAACAAAGCAAAAAUCAUAACAGAUAAUUCUUUCAGACAAUUCAGCUGAAGUAUUUCUACAGGCCGCGCCGACAGACCGUCGGCUCUCCAUGAAGGGAGCGACAGACAGGCAGGCGCGAAAAAGGCAAUUUUCUCAAUAAAAGGAAAGGAGAAAAGGGCACAUGAAGGAUGCCUUGGCUCUCGGAGGCGAAGAAGGACGUGACAAGCUGCGAUAAGCCGCGCCAAGAGGCAAAUACUCAUAGAAGCGCGGAUUUCCGAAUGGGGCAACCCGCCGCAUGGCAGCAUGCGGCACACUACCAAGUAGUGAGCGAACCCGGGGAACUGAAACAUCUCAUUACCCGGAGGAAAAGAGAACAAAAGUUAUUGCGCAAGUAGUGGCGAGCGAACGCGCAGGAGCCCAAACCGGCCAUGUUACGGCAUGACCGGGGUUGUAGGACCGCUCGACAAAGCGACAACGGAAGGUUAGCCGAAUGAGUUGGAAAACUCAGCCACAGCGGGUGAAAGCCCCGUAGGCGAAAACCUGAAGACACGCGAGAGCGGCACCUGAGUAGUGCGGAACACGAGAAAUUCUGCAUGAAUCCGCGGGGACCAUCCCGUAAGGCUAAAUACUACCGAGAGACCGAUAGCGAACC